GGUCGCCCUGAAGCCAAGCUCUAGCCCACACACCCCAACAAGCCAAAACCCAUUUUACCCACAAACUAAAGCAUUCUCUUAACUUAGUAUAGGCGAUAGAAAAGUUUUCCCCUGGCGCGAUAGAGAUCCGUACCGUAAGGGAAAGAUGAAAUAACAAUGAAACCCCAAGCAGCAUACAGCAAAGAUAAAUCCUUGUACCUCUUGCAUCAUGAUUUAGCAAGAAUAACCAAGCAAAACGAAUUUGAGCUUGCCUCCCCGAAACCUGAGCGAGCUACCUAUAGGCAGCUGCCCCGAGCGAACCCGUCUCUGUUGCAAAAGAGUGGGAUGACCUAUUGGUAGUGGUGAAAAGCCAAUCGAGCUGGGUGAUAGCUGGUUGCCUGUGAAACGAAUCUAAGUUCUUCCUUAGUUCCUCUCCACGGAUCCGUAGCCGAACCCUCACGUAGUGAACUAAGAGUAACUUAAAGGAGGUACAGCUCCUUUAAGAAAGAACACAAUCUCUCAUAGCGGAUAACAUAACUUACCACUCCCCCGUAGGCCUUCGAGCAGCCAUCGACAAAGAAUGCGUCAAAGCUCCCUCCCCUAAAAAUGUGAAAACAACAUGACCCCCUCCCCACUAACAGGCUAACCUAUCACAAUAGGAGAAUUAAUGCUAGAAUGAGUAACUAGGGCUUCCCCCUCUUAAGCGCAAGCUUACAUCACCCCAUUAUUAACAGCAUCUAAAUAAUAUUCUAAUCUCAACAAGUCAGUAUAUUUAAAAUUACUCUGUUAACCCAACCCAGGAGCGCCCACUAGAAAGACUAAAAUCUGCAAAAGGAACUAGGCAACCCCAAGACCCGACUGUUUACCAAAAACAUAGCCCUCAGCAAACCAAGUAUUGAAGGUGAUGCCUGCCCAGUGACCCUUAGUUCAACGGCCGCGGUAUCCUAACCGUGCGAAGGUAGCGCAAUCAAUUGUCCCAUAAAUCGGGACUUGUAUGAAUGGCUAAACGAGGCCUUAACUGUCUCUUGCAGAUAGUCCGUGAAAUUGAUCUUCCUGUGCAAAAGCAGGGAUGAGCACAUAAGACGAGAAGACCCUGUGGAACUUAAAAAUCAACAGCCACCACAUAUAACUACACACCUACUAGGCUCACAACCAAAAUUAAGUCCUGGUCUGCAUUUUUCGGUUGGGGCGACCUUGGAGAAAAGAAAAACCUCCAAAAAUAAGACCACACCUCUUAACCAAGAGCAACUUCUCAACGUACCAACAGUAACCAGACCCAAUAACAAUUGAUCAAUGGACCAAGCUACCCCAGGGAUAACAGCGCAAUCCCUCCCAAGAGCUCCUAUCGACGGAGGGGCUUACGACCUCGAUGUUGGAUCAGGACAUCCUAAUGGUGCAGUCGCUAUUAAGGGUUCGUUUGUUCAACGAUUAACAGUCCUACGUGAUCUGAGUUCAGACCGGAGCAAUCCAGGUCGGUUUCUAUCUAUGCAGCACUUUCCCUAGUACGAAAGGACCGGGAAAGUAAGGCCAAUACCACAAGCAUGCCUUCUCCCUAAAUAAUGACCUCAACUAAACUAUAAAAGGAACUCCCACUUACCUCCCAAGCCCUAGAAAAGGGCCGCUAGCGUG
rnacentral:rRNA from 1 species